UCCCGCAUCCCCCUCAUUCCCCUGCAGAAAUUCCAACCCCUCGGAGCUUUCCCAAGAUUUUUCAAGGAUUUUUCCAGGAUUUUCCAGGAUUUUUCCAGGAUUUUUCCUUGGCCCUGCAUCACCCUCCAUCCCCUGCAGAAAUUCCUCCCUCUAAAGACUUUUCCAAGGUUUUUCCCCAUUUUUCCAGGAUUUUUCCAGGGUUUUUCCAGGAUUUUUCCAAGGUUUUUUCUUCCUCCUGCACCCUUCUCCAUCCCCUGCAGAAAUUCCUCCUCUCGGAGCCUUUCCAGGAUUUUUCCAGGAUUUUUCCAGGAUUUUUCCAAGGUUUUCCCUUCCUUCCUCACCCCCCUCCAUCCCCUGCCGGAAUUCCUCCCCCUCGGAGCUUUCCCAAGGUUUUCCCAAGGCUUUUCCAAGGUUUUUCCAGCGGCAGCAGCAGCUCCCGCAGAUCCCAACCCUCCUUCCCGAUUUUCCCGCAUCCCAAGGAAUUCCCGGCUGGAAUUUCCUCCCCCCCCCCAUGGAUUUGAAGCCUCUCCGCUCCUGGAAUUCCCGAGCGCUUUUUCCGGAAUCCUGGAAAAAAAAAAAAACCUCAGGAAUUGGGGAAUAAACAAAAAAAAACCGGGAAUUUCUGGGAUUUCAAAUCCACCCGGGAAAGAUUCCCAGGAAUUUUUCGGGAAUUCGGGAACUUCCAAGGGAAACUUUCCAGCUCUUCCCAAGAGCGGAGAUUCGCCGGGAAAAAAUAAAAUAUUCCCGAUUUUCCCCGCGGGAAUCCCAGGAAUUUCCUUACCUGCCCCCGGCCGAGAUUCCCGAGCCGCUCAUUCCCGCUGGAAAAUCGGGAUCGGGAGCGCUCCCAGGGAAAAAAAAAUCCGGGAUGAGGAUGGGGAAGGCUCCGGGAGGGCGGAGACUCCCGGGAAUGGGGAGGAGGGAAAAUCCUGGAAAAGCUGGGAAGGAGCGGCGGGAAUGAGGAUUUGGGAAAGGAUCGGGAAGGGAUUUGGGAAAGGGAAGGAUCGGGGGGGGGGAUUUUUUUUGGGAAUUUGGGAUGGGAAUGGGAUGAAGGGGUUGGGAAUUCCGGAUGAGGAUGAGGAAGGAAUCAGGGAAGGAGGGAGGGGAAGGAUUUGGGAAAGGGAAGGAUCAGGAGGGAAUUUUUUUGGGAAUUUGGGAUGGGAAUGGGGUGAAAGGGCUGGAAAUUCGGGAUGGGGAUGA
rnacentral:lncRNA from 1 species